ACCAGCUGACGAGUCCCAAAUAGAACGAAACGCGCAUCCUGAAU
rnacentral:hammerhead_ribozyme from 1 species